rnacentral:rRNA from 1 species
AAUGAACGCUGGCGGUGUGCCUAACACAUGCAAGUCGAGCGAAAGCACAGUAAGAUCGUUCCCUUACUGUUAGCGGCGGACGGGCGGGUAACGCGUGCAUCACAAUCUUCUUUGUCUGGGAUAAUUUCGGAAAACAGCUGCUACUAAUAGCUCAUACUACCUACGGCUUGGAUCAGAAGAUCUUCGCGCCUUUCGCGAUUCUAUUAGACGAUGUCGGAUUAGCUUGUUGGCUGGGUAAGGGCCCACCAAGGCAACGAUCCGUAGCUGGUCUGAGAGGAUGAUCAGCCACACUGGAACUGAGACACGGUCCAGACUCCUACGGGAGGCAGCAGUGGGGAAUCUUCCACAAUGGGCGAAAGCCUGACGGAGCAACGCCGCGUGAGUGAUGAAGGUCUUCGGGUCGUAAAGCUCUGUUGUUGGGGAAGAACAGAUGUAUAAGUAACUGUGGAUGUCUUGACGGUACCUAAACAAAAAGCCACGGCUAACUUCGUG